AACUGCAGAACGUCUUGGCAAAAGAUGCUCUUCUCUUUAGAAGCUUUAGCCUUAAUUGACAGUUUUUACUCCACUAUUUUUAAUAUGAGUUUGUGGGGUGUGUGUGUGUGUAGACAGACAGACAGACAGGUGGAGUAAGAAUGAGUUCUGAUUUAGAGCACUGCACUGUCACUGGUAGGAUCUUUAGAACUCUUCUUGCCCCUGCUAAAA